rnacentral:tRNA from 1 species
GGGCGCGUAGCUCAGCGGGAGAGCACCACGUUGACAUCGUGGGGGUCACAGGUUCGAUCCCUGUCGCGCCCA